AAAUUGAAGAGUUUGAUCAUGGCUCAGAUUGAACGCUGGCGGCAGGCCUAACACAUGCAAGUCGAACGGUAGCACAGAGAGCUUGCUCUCGGGUGACGAGUGGCGGACGGGUGAGUAAUGUCUGGGAAACUGCCUGAUGGAGGGGGAUAACUACUGGAAACGGUAGCUAAUACCGCAUAACGUCGCAAGACCAAAGAGGGGGACCUUCGGGCCUCUUGCCAUCAGAUGUGCCCAGAUGGGAUUAGCUAGUAGGUGGGGUAACGGCUCACCUAGGCGACGAUCCCUAGCUGGUCUGAGAGGAUGACCAGCCACACUGGAACUGAGACACGGUCCAGACUCCUACGGGAGGCAGCAGUGGGGAAUAUUGCACAAUGGGCGCAAGCCUGAUGCAGCCAUGCCGCGUGUAUGAAGAAGGCCUUCGGGUUGUAAAGUACUUUCAGCGGGGAGGAAGGUGUUGUGGUUAAUAACCGCAGCAAUUGACGUUACCCGCAGAAGAAGCACCGGCUAACUCCGUGCCAGCAGCCGCGGUAAUACGGAGGGUGCAAGCGUUAAUCGGAAUUACUGGGCGUAAAGCGCACGCAGGCGGUCUGUCAAGUCGGAUGUGAAAUCCCCGGGCUCAACCUGGG
rnacentral:rRNA from 1 species